CUUCUGCUGUGACGAAUUAUGAAUAAAAUUCACAUGUCAGACUUAAGAGAUUUUUUUAAAAAAAAAAAUCUAUGAGAAGAAAAUUCAUGCUUUCCGAGCAGAGU